AGAAAAGCUUCCGGUAGGCGAAUCGGUGGCAAAAGCGAACACUACCCAUUGUUCAAAACACCCAAUUCCGACCGACGUGAAUUCAGGUAGUCGGGUAGACUAGGGAGUUGGGAGAAGUUGCUUGGUGCAAUGGUGGAGCCGCUGAGGAAGAUGCUGAGGGGCGACUGGUCGUCGAAGUCCCAAGCGAUUUGCUUGACUAGGCAGCCUGCUUUGGAGUUCUUGUUCAUGGGGAGAGAGAGAGAGAGAGAAAACCAUUAGGUCCAUCGCCAUGUACUGAGCACGACAAUAGCAGCAAGCCAUGGGCAACAAUGUAGAGGAAGAAGCCAAGUUUGUGGGAGAGCAAGGCCAUUAUGCAGCUGCAGGAGGGUCAAGGAGAAGGCAUCAGGCUUGCUUGGACAAAGAAUACGAGGUAGACAGGUAUUGAAGUUUCACUAGAUGUAACGUCCCAGAUCUAUCGCUAGUAGAUAUUGUCCUCUUUGGGCUUUCCCUUAAGGCUUUAAAACGCGUCU